rnacentral:rRNA from 1 species
UACGAAGGGUGCAAGCGUUACUCGGAAUUACUGGGCGUAAAGCGUGCGUAGGUGGUUGUUUAAGUCUGUUGUGAAAGCCCUGGGCUCAACCUGGGAAUUGCAGUGGAUACUGGGCGACUAGAGUGUGGUAGAGGGUAGUGGAAUUCCCGGUGUAGCAGUGAAAUGCGUAGAGAUCGGGAGGAACAUCCAUGGCGAAGGCAGCUACCUGGACCAACACUGACACUGAGGAGCGAAAGCCAGGGGAGCAAACGGG